ACGCUUGAAGUCAGUCGCGUCGGCCAAGACUCAGCCUUGCCUUGGCUUGGUGUACUUCUUGGCCGACGGGUCAGCAUCAAUUUCGCCCCUUGGAUAAUGGCUAGGGAAAUGUGACACCUUUCAGGUGUGUUAUAGUCCUUUGUCACAUGCAAGGGUCAGGAUUGAGGAACUCAGCAUGCACCUUUGGGUGUCGGGGUUUUUGCCCACGAUACAUGCUUAGGAUGUUGGCGUAAUGGCUUUAAACGACCCGUCUUGAAACACGGACCAAGGAGUC
rnacentral:rRNA from 1 species